UACGUAGGGUGCGAGCGUUGUCCGGAAUUACUGGGCGUAAAGAGCUCGUAGGUGGUUUGUCGCGUUGUUCGUGAAAACCUGAGGCUUAACCUUGGGCGUGCGGGCGAUACGGGCAGACUGGAGUACUGCAGGGGAGACUGGAAUUCCUGGUGUAGCGGUGGAAUGCGCAGAUAUCAGGAGGAACACCGAUGGCGAAGGCAGCUCACUGGGACGGUACUGACGCUGAGACGCGAAAGCGUGGGGAGCAAACAGG
rnacentral:rRNA from 1 species